rnacentral:tRNA from 1 species
UGUUUUUAUGGUGUAAAUAACACGUUACAUUUUCGUUGUAAAGUAGAAAUUUCUUUUCUAAAAAUAU